rnacentral:rRNA from 1 species
AGUCGAACGGCAGCACGGACUUCGGUCUGGUGGCGAGUGGCGAACGGGUGAGUAAUACAUCGGAACGUGCCUAGUAGUGGGGGAUAACUACUCGAAAGAGUGGCUAAUACCGCAUGAGAUCUACGGAUGAAAGCAGGGGAUCGCAAGACCUUGUGCUACUAGAGCGGCCGAUGGCAGAUUAGGUAGUUGGUGGGAUAAAAGCUUACCAAGCCAACGAUCUGUAGCUGGUCUGAGAGGACGAUCAGCCACACUGGAACUGAGAGACGGUCCAGACUCCUACGGGAGGCAGCAGUGGGGAAUAUUGGGCAAUGGGCGAAAGCCUGACCCAGCAACGCCGCGUGAGGGAAGAAGGGUUUCGGCUCGUAAACCUCUGUCCUAUGGGACGAAGGAAGUGACGGUACCAUAGGAGGAAGCCCCGGCUAACUACGUGCCA